AUAAAAAAAUAAAAAUAGCUUCAACAUGUGUACAUUUUAUUUUUAAUCAUUUUAAAAUUUGAAUUACAAUUUUCGUUACAUUUGAUCUGUAAGAAUUCAAUUUUGAAUCAUUUUCAUUUCAAAUUGAUUCACACACAUAGCAGACGCCAACACAUCAAGCGUCAUCAAUAGCGUGGUCUAUGGUGCAAUGCUAUCGCUGGAGGAAGUUGUUUACCUUCAAUUCGGGUAGCGUCAUGAUUGGACUACCCUGAUGGCGUCAUGAUCGCUGCUGAUUGCCUUUCAAAUAGGUUUUCAGCAUUCUGCUUACACCUUUGGCAUAGAGUCACAUAUUUCACAAUCCAACAUCAAUUGGUAGCAACAGCAGCCCUUCUCUCCAUCAUCCAGAAGGGUCUGAGAUCAGUGUUGGAGAUGUGAGUGACAAUUUUAAUAUGAUGAAAUUUAUCUACCACCAAAUUUUUACUCGUGUAUUUUUACCGUGUUCCAUUCUUGUUUCUUAAAACCAUCAACAUGUUGACUUGGUCUCAUUUUUCAACCCGAUUUAAUUAAAAAACACUGUCGAGUAAACUUUCAAUCCAUUUAAAUGAUAGAGCUAGUUAGUGUUUCUUCGCUGCUCGUAUGCAUUUAUAACAGGGAGACGAAUCGAUUAUCAUCUGGAAUCCAUCAGUAUAAGACCGUUGCCCGAUUGUACAAUGAAAUUUCAUGAAUGUAUUGCAAUCGUGAAAUAUAUUCCCUCAAUAGUAUAAGCGUGUACAAAAUGUACCCCAGAUUUAACCAUUUAAUCCCAAACCCUAAUUUAAACCAUGACGAGAUCUCCUUCUGGAUAUAUAUAUAUAUAUUUUUUAGUUUUAGUUAAACCACACAACAUGUGUAAGUCUCGUUUCCCCUUGACUCAUUGUAAGGCCCGCUCUGAGCCUAUACACCUAGUAUGGCACUACCAAACGUAACUGUCUUAACCUCUUUAUCGAGGUACUGCAUUCCUCCUAAUACUCAUUUUCACUUCAAGAUCCGACCAUGUCAGAAAGCAGAGUCAGAGAUUUCUUUUGUACCAAACAUCAUGAAUCAAAGGACGUUCUAAAACUCCUUUCGAGUAAUGACUUUGGUCUCCGAGUUCCAACGCUGAUCAAGUUAAAAAAUCACAGGUAUCCAACCGUAGAUGAGCUUGAUGUGCAUCUCAUCCGGUCAACUACAGAACGCAGAAUGAUGGAACUCUCUGAAAAUGCAAGCUUUUAAAGGGUUUUCUUGGACAAUGGAGCAAGCAAAGAGAUGUCCAUAUGUGCAUGCUCCAUCUAGAAGAUGCUGAAGGAGGGUAAGUGAUUGGUUCAAGGUCAUUGUUUCCUGAUGAAAUACACAAGGCCAGGAUUAGCAGAUAACGGGUCGAUGUGGGGGCAUUUGCUGGCUUCACAUGUUCCACUAACAAUAGACUGGUAUUUAAAUAUUUUUUCCAGUAUAACAUGGCA
rnacentral:lncRNA from 1 species